CUUUCAUAGCUGCAUAGGACUUUAAAACUCCCCCAAAGUGCUACAAACAAAAAGUACUCUUCAAGUGCUGUCAACCUAAAGGUUAACAGGUUGAAGGGACCCUGGGCUAAGGAAGCACAAGCUGGAGACACCAAAAUGGUCUUCGCAACUCGCCUCUAUAUUUUCUGCCCUGCUCCUAAGCCAGCCUGUUGGCCGACUGGCCCUUCUCCACAGAUGUCAUCUUGAGCCUCUUACAGAGUUUCAGCACUGACAUUAAUGACAAGAUGGAUCACCUACAGGACAACCUUGGAUCCUCAACCAGCCUGAUUAAGCAUUGACACUGCAUUUGUCACCACCAGCUCUGAUGGUUUGGACAUGUAGAAAUGUAUUGCAGGAGAAUAUGCAAACAGCUGCUGUAAGGUGAGCUGAUCGGGACAACUGCCAGCAGGCAGAAGGGAAGGCAUAAUUAAUGGGCACCCUUCAGCAGAGCUCAGAGCAGACCAAACGCCAAUGCAGAAGGCUCAAGAAAGAGGCAAACAGACUAGCCACUGCUCCAGGAUGACUGUGGCUCUUUAUGAGUGAAGAGAAAGGGUGGAGACUGAAGACAGAACUGGGGACAGUGACAGGCUUGGGGAAGAACAGCUGAUUCAGCAGUCCCAAGGGUGACAUCGCAAAAUACAUGGGUGAAGACAACCUAGUGGCCGUGACUUGGAGCACCCUUCCUCACAAUGAAGGCAUUCUGGGCCAGCCUGAAAAACAGCAUGGAAAUAAAUCACCUAAGUACAAGCAGUUUGAUGGGUCCACGUGCCAGCAAGAUAGAGAUACUCAUCAGGAAGUUGGCCAUGCAAGUUUGAAAUUUGAGAGAAGAAUCACAAAAAUGCAAAGGCUGUGCUCAAAUAAAAAUGAACUCCUUUGGUAAAGUCCUGGUCUUCAAUUCACUAAUGUUAAGGUGGGAACCAUCCCAUUACUCUGGAAUGUAUGUUCUUAAAUCAAGUGAUCAGAUUUUCUUACAUUGGUAGAGGCAAAGGAAUGGGAAUCAUAUACUAAUGGAUUUUAUACAAAACACAGCAUAAAAAAAUUACCAUAACACUUUUAAGAUUAAAACCAGAUUAAAAAUUAAUAAAACUUACAAAUGACAAAUGUUUUCUACAUACUAGACUGAAAGACAUUAUUGCAUUUUCUAUUUUAAAAUAAAAUGACUCUAUCUAGAAUGGUUUAAGUGAGUUCCUCUCAAAGCAGAAAACUUCUUAAGAUUAUUUUCUAUAAGGUCCUUCAGAAACAAGAAACCCUCUAACCUUAGAGUUACUUUUUAUCAAUUCUUACCUUGCCAACCUAGACUUCUCAGCCAAACUUCCUAAUCUUAAUUCCUUAGCAGAUAUGGUAAAUUCCUUAGAAACCUACUUGAUGAUGUACAACUAUCUUCAUGAUCCUAUCAAUAUACUCAGGCAACUAUCUAAUCACCAAGGUUAUGUGUUGGGAAGGGAAAGGUGAAAUACAUCGAUCCUUCUGUCUGAAGACUUGAUUAACUCUCAGCCAGGCAC
rnacentral:lncRNA from 1 species